rnacentral:rRNA from 1 species
CGGGACGGGUGGGUAAUGUCUGGGAAACGUACUCGAUGAGGGGGGAUAACUACUGGAAACGGUAGCUAAUACCGCAUAACGUCGCAAGACCAAAGAGGGGGACCUUCGGGCCUCUUGCCAUCGGAUGUGCCCAGAUGGGAUUAGCUAGUAGGUGGGGUAACGGCUCACCUAGGCGACGAUCCCUAGCUGGUCUGAGAGGAUGACCAGCCACACUGGAACUGAGACACGGUCCAG